AAAUAAUAUUACAGCUCUGUUGACUUUAAAGUUGUAAUUAAUACGAAGAUGUGUAUAGGUGACGUAUUUUCGAUCGGAUAAAUUUUUUUUGGAUUUGAGUGUAAAUUAAAAAAAGAAUAAAGAGCCCCAUGAUAAGCAAUUAUUGUAAUAUUAUUUUUCUAUUUAUCAAUACGAUAUUUAAAUUGUGAAUGGAUUUAUAAUAAUCAAAUGCAAUAAUUGAAA